rnacentral:misc_RNA from 1 species
CUGUUCGAGCGCCGUUGUACUACUAAGGCUCAGCCUUGCGGUGGCCGCUCCCCGUCCAAAAGAGGGGGAGGGCCCAAACCAAUGGGCGUUUUUGUGAGACUGUCCAGCGUAGCAAGUCAAUCGCUGGAUGGGUUCGGCUCAAGAGCGCCAGUCAACGAACGUUUGGCCUCGGAUCAGGUAGGGAUACCCGCUGAACUUAA